GCCGGCGUAGCUCAGCGGCAGAGCGAGGCACUCGUAAUGCCUAGGUCGUGGGUUCAAAUCCCACCGCCGGCU
rnacentral:tRNA from 1 species